ACGGGUAUGCGAAGGUGGCGGAAUUGGUAGACGCGCUAGCUUCAGGUGUUAGUGUCUUAACGGACGUGAGGGUUCAAGUCCCUCUCUUCGCACC
rnacentral:tRNA from 1 species